rnacentral:rRNA from 1 species
CCCUUAGAUGUCCGGGGCUGCACGCGCGCUACACUGAAGGAAUCAGCGUGCUAAAACCAUUGUCGAAAGGCAUUGGUAAACCCAUUAAAAUCCUACGUGAUUGGGAUCGGGAAUUGCAAUUAUUUCCCUUGAGCGAGGAAUUCCCAGUAAGUGUGGGUCAUAAGCUCGCGUUGAUUACGUCCCUGCCCUUUGUACACACCGCCCGUCGCUGCCCGGGACUGAGCCGUUUCGAGAAAAGCGGGGACUGCUGCUGUCGGGGCUUUCGGGCCUUGGCUUCGGUGGAAACCGCUUUAAUCGCAGUGGCUUGAACCGGGCAAAANUCGUANCA